UUCAGAUUACCUUCUACAGAGCAGAGGAAAUGCCAUCUUCUGACUGAGGGACAAGUGAUGGUGAACACAGGGAUACAACAUCAUCAUUUGCUCAUAACAUCAAGCUACCCCUUUGGAGGAAGACCAGAGUGCCUCACUCAUUUGACCUAUGAGGGGAGAUCCCCCACCUACCUGGUACCAACCCAUGCUGACAGCUCAAAUUACUUUGGGACUAGGUACAUCUUCUACCACUGAGGCCAGACAAGACAGCACAGUUAGGGGAGCUGGAUCCAGAGGCAGGCAACAGAAUCAAGUUGUUUCCUGCUACUUAAGAAGUAGAAUGAAGUAUGGCUUAACGCUGGCAGUGUUGACGGCUUCACAGAGAGAGACAGGAAGACAGAAGCUACUUCAAGGGCACCGCGUAAAAGGAAUGCUGAGCUAGCACAGGAAUGGUUGCAGAAUAGUUACUUUUAUCUCUCAGCCCCAAAGGACCGGUCCUUAAUGUUCUGCUUGAAAUAAUGCAGGUUCACAUUUUAAUUUCCACAACCAAGAAAGGAAAUGCAGAGACAGCCAGGCCUCAG